UAGUCUGCAACUCGACUACAUGAAGCUGGAAUCGCUAGUAAUCGCAGAUCAGAAUGCUGCGGUGAAUACGUUCCCGGGUCCUUGUACACACCGCCCGUCACACCAUGGGAGUUGGGAAUGCCCGAAGUCAGUGACCCAACCGCAAGGAGGGAGCUGCCGAAGGCAGGCUUGAUAACUGGGGUGAAGUCGUAACAAGGUAUC
rnacentral:rRNA from 1 species